rnacentral:rRNA from 1 species
UGGGGAAUAUUGCACAAUGGGCGCAAGCCUGAUGCAGCAACGCCGCGUGAAUGAUGAAGGCCUUCGGGUCGUAAAAUUCUGUUCUAAGGGAAGAAGCAGUGACGGUACCUUAGAAGCAAGCUCCGGCUAACUACGUGCCAGCAGCCGCGGUAAUACGUAGGGAGCAAGCGUUAUCCGGAAUCACUGGGCGUAAAGCGUGCGUAGGCGGUCCAUCAAGCCUGAGGUGAAAGGCAACGGCUCAACCGUUGUAAGCCUUGGGAACUGUUGGACUUGAGUACAGGAGAGGAAAGUGGAAUUCCUAGUGUAGCGGUGAAAUGCGUAGAUAUUAGGAGGAACACCAGUGGCGAAGGCGACUUUCUGGACUGUAACUGACGCUGAGGCACGAAAGCGUGGGGAGCGAACAGGAUUAGAUACCCCCGUAGUC